CCUACGGGAGGCAGCAGUGGGGAAUAUUGCACAAUGGGGGAAACCCUGAUGCAGCGACGCCGCGUGAGUGAAGAAGUAUCUCGGUACGUAAAGCUCUAUCAGCAGGGAAGAAAAUGACGGUACCUUACUUAAGAGCCCCCGCUAACUACGGUCCAGCAGCCGCGGUAAUACGUAGGGGGCAAGCGUUAUCCGGAUUUUCUGGGUGGAAAGGGAGCGUAGAAGGCAGGACAAGUCUGGAGUGAAAGCGCGGGGCUUAACCCUGGAACUGCUUUGGAAACUGUGCGGCUGGAGUGCAGGAGGGGUAAGUGGAAUUCCUAGUGUAGCGGUGAAAUGCGUAGAUAUUAGGAGGAACACCAGUGGCGAAGGCGGCUUACUGGACUGUAACUGACGUUGAGGCUCGAAAGCGUGGGGAGCAAACAGGAUUAGAUACCCCAGUAGUC
rnacentral:rRNA from 1 species